CUGCUUCAGUGGGCGUGUCCUCAGAGAUGCUUGAUCAUCCUCCAUCCUCACUUACAUUGAACACUGGGAUGUUGAGGGUGAUGCUCAAUUAGCACAACAUGCAAUAUUUUUAAAAAUGUCCCUGAUUUGAAUCUAAUGAUCACAAUACUGUCUGUAAAUGUGCCAAAGCAGCUUUGCAUAAAAACUCUUGUAUUUAAUUUUUAUUCACUGACAUUAAAUUCAUUAUUUAUUUAUAAUAUGUCAGCACUCAUAUUUUUAUUUUUGCAUUAAUUUUGAAAUGAAUAACAAGAAUGCUGCCCUUUCUACACAAACAAACUCUCCUCCUGUCUGUGUCUUUUCUCUGAUAGCAUUGUUGUUAUGUACUCUGCUGAUGUUGAGGAGUGUGGCUGUCAUGUAAAUGUAUAUAUGCAAUCCUGCUUGUUGUGCUCUUUAAUCAGUUCUCAAUCUUUGACAACUUUAUAAAUUCAUAUUGUCUUUUUUUUUCUUUUGGUACUGUUUUUUUUUUUCUCUUUCUUUUAUAAUGAUCUUUUUAUGGACUGAUUCAUAGAUGUCAUUUUUCUUCUAAUUACAAAAGCUGAACAGCUGAUUAUUUUAUGUCUCAAGUAUUUUGUGUGUGUGUGAGAGAGAUUCAAUGUUGGUCAAUUAAAUGUUAUUUAUUUAGUGCCAAAUCACAUUAACAGUCACAUCAUCUUUAUACUGUGAGGUAAAAACUCUACAAUAACACACAUCAAUUAAGGUUUGGAAACAGUAUCACCACUAGUUUUAAUUCAAUUAAAUUUUCUUUAUAUAGUGUCAAAUCACAACAACAGUUGCCUCAAGGUGCUUUAUAUUGUAAGGUAGAUCGUACAAUAAUACAUACAGAGAAAAACCCAACAAUGAUAUGACCCCCUGUGACCAAGCACUUUGGCAAAAGUGGGAAGGAAAAACUCCCCUUUAACAGGAAGAAACCUCUGGCAGAACCAGGCUCAGCGAAGGGCGGCCAUCUGCUGCGAAUGCUUGGGGAGAGAGAAUACUGAUAAAAAUAACUCAUAGAAUUAAAAAAGGUGCCACAGCACAAGUUUUGAUUGCUUAAAAAGCACAUUUGGCUUGUUCUUUUUAGGUUAGUUUAGUUUAGGUUUGUGGAAGGAAGGUCUGAUGCUUUCUAUCAUUCGAGUCCUAAAACAUCCAGAGGUGUGUUUUGGUUCACUUGCCUGCAGAAGAACAAACAAUAGUUACAUAAAUCUAUGUAGCAUGACAUAUCAAUGCAGGGUGUUGUGAUAACCAGCUUGAAUAAAGUCAGUAUAAAUCAUAAACUGUAUCCCCAUCACAAGGUUCCUCUGUGCAUUACAGUGAGAACACCACACACAGAGAACCAUCUGCUCAUUUACUCCAUGUGUCACAAAGACAGAGCAGAGCAAAGUGUGAAUUUCCAAUGGUCUGCCUGCUUAUUUUUCUGUCUCAGUAGUCUUUUCUUCACAGCAGUUGUACUUUUAAAUUGGAAAAAAAUAGAUAAAUACUACUUUUUCAUAAGACAACUGGUUGCCUUGUCUUAAGACUCACCUGUGAACACCAACCCACGCCAGUCAGAAUCGCUACAUUCAAAAUACAACUGUAAUCUAAUCUAAUUAAGUAGUCUAAAUCUGUUCUGCUCUGGGACUGCUCUUAGAGCACAGUUGAUUUCAUAUAUAAAAAAUAAAUAUUUUGUUUUUUGGCAACAG
ensembl:lncRNA